GUUCAGUGGUAGAACGCUUACCUUCCAUGUAAGAGACCUAGGUUUGAUUCCUGG
rnacentral:tRNA from 1 species